rnacentral:lncRNA from 1 species
AAUACCAUUUAUGCUGUAUUCACCAUUUUCCACUGAUACAUAGGGAUCAAAUAGGUAACAGCAUAAAUUCUCAGACUAAAGAGGAUAUAUUUAGGAGAAGUGAGGAAGAUAAUACAACAAUUUUAGUCUAGAAGUCACUCAACACUCCAAUGUCUAAAAUGAAGAGACAUAAAUCCAUAUCAAUGCCCUUGUUAUCAGUCUUUUCUUUUCUCAAUCCAAGAGGAAUCUACAAACCCAGCAGACCAAAUGGAAAAAACCACUCAAGGGCAAAUGGACAUGGAGAUGAAUGGCCAACCAAAGAUGAACAUAUCGAACCGGUUUCAUUCAGUUUUUGACCUUGCUCAAGAGGAUAAAAAGCACACCUUGUGGUGCUUGGGCUGGCAGGCAGAGUUAGGACAACUGGGUUUUGGCCUGGAAUGGUCCUGAAAUCAUCGUCCAUCUCUGUCUCAUUAAUCACACAACAGAACAAAACCACGAGCCACAGACUUGCAUAUAUAAACACGCAUGCAUUUGUGACUAUUCCUUGUGAAGUCUCCAAAGCUUAAGGCUUGCCCAUUCAUCUUGCACCACCUUGCAGAGGUAGGAAGGGAAGGCAUGGAUGUGAUGUUGGUGAAAAGUGAGGUUAACAGCAGCGGAAGGCAACUAACUGCCAUGGCAACCCAUCCACAGGACAGCAGUCCGACGGUCAAGCGCAUCAAGAGGAGGAGGCGAGAGCCUGCGUCGCCGGCCAUUGCAGCUGAUGCCAAUGGGGAGAUCAUUGAUCAGCCUGCUACCAGCAGCACUGUUAAAAGAAGUUCAAGGUUUCGCGGGGUUAGCAGGUAUGGUUGAUAGUCAAAUAAUAAGUCUGCAGUAAUUAUAACUCAUAUGUCUGUAAAUCAGUCCUUGCAUACAAAAUAGCCUAGAGGCAUGAGAGCAAUAACAUAUAUCAAGAGCCAACAUUGUCUUAAGGUUCAAGCACCAAUUUCAAAAUUCGAGAGCAAAAUAAAUUCAUGUGUGACAACUUAUUUGCAUUCUUUUAUUCCUUGCCAUUCUUUAACCAACAGCAAGCGAUCAUGCAGGCACAGAUGGACAGGCCGUUUUGAAGCCCAUUUGUGGGACAAAGGGUCAUGGAAUACCACACAGAGGAAGAAGGGAAAACAAGGCAAGAUUUUUUAUAUGUCCCUUUCUGUGUCUUUUACCUUGUUUCUUUAGCAAGCCUUACAUGUAUUUAAAUCAUUUGUUCCCGAAAAUUAUGUUGAUUCAAACAGUUUACCUUGGAGCUUAUGAUGAGGAAGAAGCAGCAGCAAGAGCUUAUGACCUUGCUGCACUCAAGUACUGGGGGCCUACCACCAUCACAAACUUCCCGGUAUGUCAUCCAUGAAAAACUUCCUCCCAUCUUAAUUGCUAAAGCUUUGACUACAUCAGGAUCUUGAGUAAGUUGGAUGAUUUUUCUUUAUGGAAUAAGUGGAUUGGAUUCCCAAUCUCAUCUUUUCCGUCAAAAAAAUAGAAGGAAAGGAAGUAAAUUUGGGAUCGUCAUAAACAACAUAGUUUCAUUUGAGGGAAUAUGAAGCACAUAAUUUUACUUAAUAGAAGACCAGGAGGAAAAAAUUGAUCAAACAAUCACUUGAAGCAGUUCUUAUAUUUGGCAGACAUAUCAGUUGAUGAUGUGCGCAAACUUUUUCAACUGAAUUAUAUAUUUGGCCGACAUAGGGCCUGAUGUAUCUAACACUAAUCCUAACAGAUAACAAAUUCCAAAUUUGGGGUUAUUAAUCAUACCCUAUAUGACACCAUGACCAUUUCAAUACUUUGGCAUUUGGAUUAUGCAUAGCAGCUGAUAACUACAGUUUUAAGUUAUUUGGCUUUUAGAAACUAUUACCUUAGGAGACUCACAUGAUAUUUUCAUCUCUAUUUGUAUUCUAUAUAUGAAACAUAUAAACAUUCACAUGCACAUGAACACAGAGACCAAUAGAAAAUCAACAUCGAGCUUACUACAAGAUACUAUGGAGGCAAGGGUAUCAUCUUAAAAUGAUUACUGACAAUUGGGAAACAUUUCAGAUUCAUUACUGGAAUUUAAUUUAGGACAUCUAACUGAAUCACAUGAAAUAUUUUGUGGAAUUAUGAUAUAGAACAUCAAUGUAGGCAUUUGAUAAGUAGUCUCCAGUUUAUUUUCUUUUUUUCCUUAGAAAAAUUGGAAAGUUUUGGAAUGAUGUUCAUGCUGUGAGUCGUGGCAAUUCUCAACAUAUAACACAACUUAUUAACUCUUGUUCCUGGUUAUAAAGAAUUAAUAUGACAAUUAUCUUUACAUCAAGUUCACAAAUCAAAGCUUUGCUAGUUCCGUUGACUUCAUGAAACAUAAUUGAUGGAUCACUUGAUCUAGAGGACUUUGCAACACUGUACUCAAUAUGCAAUAUUGUAAUGGUUCAUUGCUUCAUUGCUUUCAUUUUCAUAUGCUUGUCAAGUUAAUUCCAAAGAAAACCCAAUCCACCUGUUAUUUUCCUGUCUGUCUUCUGCUUACAAAGUCUUUUGAUAGUUAUUUUAGACAGAUUGUACCAAUCAAAAAGUUUAACAUAUUACCUAUGUGGAAAAAUUCAUGUUUCCUGAUGAACAGCUAAAAGUUCAUGCUUCUUCAUCUCCUGUAUGCUUGUGGAUACAUAAAAUAAAUAUAAAAAUAUGUGUUUCUAUUCCAAGAUUUUAACGGAAGGGAAAAUGAUUUCAGGUUUCUGACUAUGAAAAUGAGAUACAAAUAAUGCAGAAUGUGACUAAAGAAGAGUAUCUGGCCUCAAUAAGAAGGUAUUAAGAUCCUGCUCUUUUUGUGAGCUCUAGAAACUUACAAAGCCCUUAAAUUGUCAGAAUUUUGCUCCUUUACCUUGCAUUAUUUGGUUCGAUAACAGGCAUAGUAGUGGUUUUUCACGAGGUUUGUCCAAAUACCGGGGAGUUGCAAGGUACAAAUUCAUGAACAGAGUAUAUCUAUUCUUUUCAAGCUGAAGCUCAUUAAUAAGAAAUUUUAACAACCAAACAAAAUGGAAAAAUUGCAGGCACCAUCACAAUGGAAGGUGGGAAGCAAGGAUUGGAAGGGUUUUCGGAAACAAGUACCUCUAUCUUGGCACUUACAGUAAGCACCGCAACUUCAACAACUCUCAUGUACUACUACCUCUUGACCUCCAAAUAAAAACAUAUGAAAGUACUAUAAUUGUUGCAGGUACGCAAGAGGAAGCAGCUCGUGCAUAUGACAUUGCAGCAAUUGAGUAUAGAGGGAUCAAUGCUGUGACCAAUUUUGACCUGAGUACAUACAUCAGAUGGCUAAGGCCAGGGGCCACCAAUGCCUUGAAAAUUACCCAAGAGCAACAUGUCAAUGGUGAAGCUCAUGCAGUGCAACCACCCACCAACCUCUUUUCAUCAGCCGAAUCUGAAACACUCUCGCACUGCAGCCCCUUGGUCGCAGAGAAUGUGAUCUCAUCAUGUAAGGAAGAGUUUGUACAUCAUGAGUUUCCUGGCAGUAGCUCAAGCAGCAAGUCUUCCCCUACUGCUCUAAGCCUCCUACUGAAGUCCUCAAUGUUUAGGCAACUUAUGGAGAAGAAUUCUAGGGCACUCACUGAAGAGCUUGAGGAGGAAAUGAAGGAUUGGAAACAACAGAUGGGAGCUGACAUUGAAUACCAGGGGAUCCUUUAUGAAGGAAUUGCUGAUAUGCCAUAUGGUUACUCCCCAGAUGGUGACAACGGACGAAGAAUUGAGCUACAGGAGAGUGUUUCUUACUAUGAUCAGAGUGAGCAGUCAAUAUGGAAUGGUGUAGUGAGUAUGGCCUUACUGCAAUAGCCUAAAAGGAAGACCUUGAGGGAUAGAGUGAGAGAGAGACUAAUGGAGGAAGAGACAGGGAGAGAGAGAGAGAUCUGAAAAUUAUGCGAGGUGAUUUUGUCUUGUAUCAUACAUACAAUCAUCUCGCACUUUCCAAUUGCUUGGCACAAUGUUUCUUUCCUUUGUGCUAGCAAGCGAUAUGAAUAAGACCCAGGAGUACUUUAAGAAUGUAUCCUCCUGGAUAUGUAUUAUAUGCUUACAUGGUACCUAAUGUUUGGAUACUAGGAUAAUAUUGGUAUCACUGUGCGGAUGGAUCUGAGCUCAAAAUCAAUAAUAGUUUAUUAUUUGGAUCACUGAAGUAGACUUGUUCUGACAGAGUAGUAAGGAAAACACCUAGCUAAAUUUGGGCUCUGGUGCUGCCAAAAAUAAAUCAUAAAUAAAUAAAUGUUCGCAUAUAGACACUCCAGGAUGACUUAAGUUAGUUGAAAUCCCUUCGCCAAACAGGUUCCAUAGGUUUAGUCAAAGCACAGACAUAAGCUAGUUUGUUCAAAAGGAGCACUAAGCCAUCUUUUUCUAACUCCCCAGUUAGCCAACCAAGUUAAAGCCUGAACCCCCAAUAUGGGCUUGUUUCCCAGCUGGAUCCCGGCCUUGCAGUGUCAGGAUAUAUAGAAAUGCCAGAUAUUGCUCCAGUAAAGAAAGUUAUGAAAAAGGUUUUCGUACCUUUACUUCCUUAAAGAUUAUCGUCACCAUCAAUCUGUAAGUUAAAAGGCUUGUUUGAAACUCAGGGAAGAACUUAUUUUCUGUGUGGCUCUCUUCUGUGACUUUCAGAUGCAUCAGAACAGAUGGUUUGAAGAAAUGGAAUGAACGCAACCACAUCGUCAGAUUCACGACAAGGGUGAUUCUGAAGUAUAACUAGUUCUUGCAUGCUAAAUUCAGCAUAUAUUGCCAUCAAGCUCCAAAAAGAAAGGACAAUUUUUGAGAAAGGUGUAGAAUCUGUAGAUGCACUGCUUACAAACAUGUAAAGACAAGUUCUUGCCCAUACUCAUGGAACAGAUUCAAUUAAUAGGAUAGAUUGUAAAACAAAAAAAGGAUGGAAAAUUGCAGAAAUGUCGGUGACCAUCCUGAACAAGAUAAUAAUGUUUUGUUGGAUGCUCAUAAAUGGCUCAGCUUUGUUCCCCAAGAAGUGGGAAGGUGUAAGGAGAUACCAUGGAUAACCAAUGAUUACACAAGGUUCUAAAUGCAGCUGGUAUGAAGGCUAAACAAUAAGCAUAAUAAAAUUAAUUUCAACUACUAGUGCAUACUCUACCCAAAAAAUUUACUACUGGUGCAUACAAAAGUAAGAAGGUAGACUCAUUCAAUUUUAUUACAAGAUAAGGAUACAAAUUUAAAAGAAAUCCAGCUUGGAAGAGUUAAUUAGUCCCAAUAUACAAAGGAAACAUUAGUAUGUCUAUAUAUAUGUAUGCGUGUAUAUAUGUGCUAGCAAACCCCCACAUAUGAAAUCCCUAAAGAUGUAUCCACAGUUCAAUUAUUUGAUAAAAAGGAAAAUAUUUAAUGGAGUGACCCACAUUGGAUUUGCCAUGAAAAAAAAUGCACAAAAUAUUACUCCAAUACAUAAAAACUUGCUGAAGAUAUAAAUAAAUCAAAACUGCUUCUUUUAUUCAAAAUUUACAAAGCCAAAAAAAAAAAGUAUCUAUCAGCAAACAUGUCAUACCUGAACAUCAUGAGUUCCUUCUCAUCUUGCCCUGAUAACCACUUGUUAAAAAAAGACAUUUAUUACCGUUGUCGUGAUACUUGCAAAGUCUAACAACUGUAUUUGCAUAAAAAAAAACACACCAAGCAUAAAAUCCCCUGAUUAAGUGACAGAAACAUAUCAUAAAAGGAGAUUUUUUUUUUUGUGGAAAAAAAAAGAUCAGGGACAUUGGAAAUCCCAGCAAAAUAAGGUGAAUGAGGAAAGGAAAAAGGUCAAAUCUUUGGAGGAGAAAAGAGAAAACAGGAAGAAGAGGAAGACAAAAAAGCUUUAUCCUUCAACGGCUAAACGGCAUCCAAGAAGACCUGGAGGAAGGCUCACCGUGGCAAGAACCAUAGAUGAAAACCGGAAAGAUAAGAUUUUGAUGCCAAAAAUUGAAGCUCGGAUGAAAGAAAGAUGGAGGGAG